rnacentral:rRNA from 1 species
AUUGCACGCUGGCGGCAUGCCUUACACAUGCAAGUCGAACGGCAGCACGGGUGCUUGCACCUGGUGGCGAGUGGCGAACGGGUGAGUAGUACAUCGGAACGUACCUUAUCGUGGGGGAUAACGCAGCGAAAGCUGUGCUAAUACCGCAUACGCCCUGAGGGGGAAAGCGGGGGAUCGCAAGACCUCGCGCGAUUAGAGCGGCCGAUGCCUGAUUAGCUUGUUGGUGGGGUAAAAGCCCACCAAGGCGACGAUCAGUAGCUGGUCUGAGAGGACGAUCAGCCACACUGGGACUGAGACACGGCCCAGACUCCUACGGGAGGCAGCAGUGGGGAAUUUUGGACAAUGGGGGCAACCCUGAUCCAGCAAUGCCGCGUGAGUGAAGAAGGCCUUCGGGUUGUAAAGCUCUUUCGUCAGGGAAGAAACACCGGCUCUAACACAGUCCGGGAAUGACGGUACCUGAAGAAUAAGCACCGGCUAACUACGUGCCAGCCGCCGCUGUAA